rnacentral:rRNA from 1 species
CCCUUAGAUGUUCUGGGCCGCACGCGCGCUACACUGAUGCAUUCAACGAGUUUCUUCCUGGUCCGAGAGGAAUGGGUAACCUUUUGAAAGUGCAUCGUGAUAGGGAUAGACUAUUGCAAUUAUUGGUCUUCAACGAGGAAUUCCUAGUAGACGUAGUUCAUCAGACUGCAUGGAUUACGUCCCUGCCCUUUGUACACACCGCCCGUCGCUCCUACCGAUUGGACGCUGCGGUGAAGACCUGGGAUUGAGAGGGGGGGUUUGGAGGUUUUCGGAUUUCCAGCCCCUCGUCCCGAGAACUCGUCUGAACCCCAUCGUCUAGAGGAAGAAGAAGUCGUAACA